GUUUCUAAACAGUAAGAUUAAACUUAAAGUGAGUCCAAAUCUCCACUUCUUUCAGCAGUCCUAAACUUCUUACGACGAGACCUGGGAAAAAGAAGCUGACGGAUCUGUUUCUCAGCAGCAAUCUCUGAAUGUGCCCUAACUUUGAAGGGGAAACGAUGUGUCCACACUUCUGUUCCAGAGAGAACUCUGACAUCCAUGCCAAGACUGUCAACUCCAAUCAAAUUUGCUCUCUCAACAUGAAGUCCUUUCUUUCUGCAAAGAGCUUUAAGUGCAUAUUUGCACCUUAUUCCUUGCUGCCGAAACCACUCUAAAAU
rnacentral:misc_RNA from 1 species